rnacentral:snRNA from 1 species
UCAGCUCCUUUUGCCAUUUGGCUUAGGUCAAGAGUAUUCUGUUCUUUUUUAGAUUAAUCUCUAUUAUCUCCCUACGGGGUCGCUCUCACUUGAUUAUGAUUUUUGGAACUCGCCAUGGAGCUUAUGAGCGCUGCUCAUCCUCCAUGGCACAGUGUCCCUCGUAUUGCACUGCUUCGAGGUGAUGCGAACUUUU